AAUCUUCCGCAAUGGACGAAAGUCUGACGGAGCAACGCCGCGUGAGUGAUGAAGGUUUUCGGAUCGUAAAACUCUGUUGGUAGGGAAGAACAAGUAUCGGUGUAACUGCCGGUACCUUGACGGUACCUAACCUGAAAGCCACGGCUAACUACGUGCCUGCAGCCGGGGUAAUACGUGGGUGGCAAGUGUUUUCCGGAAUUAUUGGGCGUAAAACGCGCGCACGCCGUCUUUGAAGUCUGAUGUGAAAGCCCCCUGCUCCACCGGGGAGGGUCAUUGGAAACUGGGAGACUUGAGUGCAGAAGAGAAGAGAGGAAUUCCACGUGUAGCGGUGAAAUGCGUAGAGAUGUGGAGGAACACCAGUGGCGAAGGCGACUCUUUGGUCUGUAACUGACGCUGAGGCGCGAAAGCGUGGGGAGCAAACAG
rnacentral:rRNA from 1 species